rnacentral:rRNA from 1 species
CCUACGGGCGGCAGCAGUGGGGAAUAUUGCACAAUGGGGGAAACCCUGAUGCAGCGACGCCGCGUGAGUGAAGAAGUAUUUAGGUAUGUAAAGCUCUAUCAGCAGGGAAGAAAAUGACGGUACCUGACUAAGAAGACCCGGCUAACUACGUGCCAGCAGCCGCGGUAAUACGCAGGGGGCAAGCGUAAUCCGGAUUUACUGGGUGUAAAGGGAGCGUAGACGGCGGAACAAGUCAGUAGUGAAAACCCGGGGCUCAACCCUGGGAUUGCUUUUGAAACUGUUUGGCUGGAGUGCAGGAGAGGUAAGCGGAAUUCCUGGUGUAGCGGUGAAAUGCGUAGAUAUUAGGAGGAACACCAGUGGCGAAGGCAGCUUACUGGACUGUAACUGACGUUGAGGCUCGAAAGCGUGGGGAGCAAACAGGAUUAGAUACCCCGGUAGUC